rnacentral:misc_RNA from 3 species
AACGCACAUUGCGCCCUCUGGUAUUCCGGGGGGCAUGCCUGUUCGAGCGUCAUUACAACCCUCAAGCUCUGCUUGGUAUUGGGUCAGCCCCUAGGGGCUUUCCUCAAAUUCAGUGGCGGCGUCCAUUGGGCUUCAAGCGUAGUAAUUCUUCUCGCUUCGGAGUUCCGGUGGGAGCUUGCCAGCAACCCCAAACUUUCUAUGGUUGACCUCGGAUCAGGUAGGGAUACCCGCUGAACUUAA